UUGCGUUCUUACUGUGAUGGAAACACCAGUUCUCGUCCGAUCACCGAAGCUAAGCAUCAUCGGACCUGGUUACUACUAGGGAGGGUGUCCACUUGGGAAAACCGCGGG